AGUAAAUUAUCUGAAAGAGAAGUUAUUUGGCAUGAUGGAAUUGUAAUGAUUUGAUUGCCUAAACAUUGCAGAUGUAAAAUGUUAAAUACUGUUCUGUAUUAAAAGCUCAGCGUAAGUGUUUGAUUAACUUGCUUUGCUUUUGUUUUGUAUAAAGGAAAAGCAGAACCUAAUCCAAAUAAAAAUAAACAAGCUGUUAAAAGGACUGUGUCCUACCCAGAUCCUCCUCCAAAAUAUAACCAUUCAAAACCCAAGCCAGUUGAAGGUGGUCAACACAAACCAAAUGAAGAUGAUGCACAUUCUACAAACAAUAAAAAAGAAGGGCAAACUGUAGAUAUGAAUUGUGUAGAUAUGGCUUAAACAGUCUACACAUUUGUUAACUUUCUAAUUUGUCAUAUGUCCUUGUUUGUGCUAAAGAUCAAGUUUUGUGUCAAACACACUUGGAUGAGACGUGCCCGACCCCUGACUUUGUCUACCCUAAAUUAAGUUGCACACUUCAUGACAGUAAACAUCGGUGUCAAGAUGGUGUGAUUGAUCUCUAUACCCUAGAAUAAGCUGUGACACUAUGAGACGGUCACAUAAUGAACAGCCAUCUUCCAGACAACCGAAAGAGGCAUAGUAUUGUUUUGUUUUUUGUCUAUUGUUCUACACCUAAAGAUGAUUUUUUUGUAAUCGUACAGUUAUGGUGUUAUUCAAUCAUUAAUGUGUCCUUUCUUACCUUAAAUAACUUGUAAUUUUUCACACCUUUUGUUUUUAAUGUCUAUGUAGUAUUGUCCACAAUCCCAAAUUCUGGAUUGACGCCCAGUACCAGACGGCACCCCAAUCCCAGAGAGCAUCCCACUGUAUGUGAGAACAUUACAGUUGCAUCUUAUUUUAAGCAGAUUAUAUUAGGGAUGCACAAUAUAUCGCAUGUGAUUGUCAGUGAAGCCGGUUCCGUGAGUAAACUACGGCUUUGUGUAGUAAAUGCCGCUCCAUCUGAAAGCAGGUGAUGGCGAUUUACUACCAAUCAAGGAAACGGCUUUACUGAUGAGAUGCACAUGAUAUCGCAUGCGAUUUAUUAUGCAUGACUAGAUUCUACAUUUAGUGACAACACAGUUUAGAGUAUAAACAUGUACAUUUCUCUGAAUCUGAGUUAUUAGUUACAAAUACAGAGCAUAUAAUGUCUAUCAUUGCUCAACCACAAAGACCUAAAAGUACAGCCAGCUGAUUUUUAUAACUAAUGCAGUAUUACACUAUGAAGUUAUUUACUGUUAAAAUUUUACACUACCAUAUAAUUAACUAUAUUUGUCCAGGUGAGGUUACACACAAGAAAAAUUAACAGGAUGAAGACUACCUGAUUCUUCACCUAUGGCCUCAGCUUCAAAUGCAAGAAGUCCAGCAACUGUCUGAGCUGGUGGAUAUUCUGUCAGAGACUGUGUGAACAACGUUAUGAACAGAAUGAUGUCAAAUUGUCUUAUGGCAAACUUCAAUAUGAGGGGUGAUGGACAUCUGGAAAAGUUGUCUUUUAACACCUUGGUAUUAUGUAAUUCAAGAUGCUGUGAAGAGGUGGAGCCCAAAUGCCACAGACUUGGAAAUAGAUGCAGCUAUGGCAGACCACCUUAAGCACGCUCUAGGAAGAGCUGGGGGUGGUGAAUACAAAAAAUAAGCCAAACAGCGUAAAAGAGUUCACCCAAAAAUGAAAAUUAUUUUCUUCUUACCCACAUGUUUCAAACCUGUAUACCUUUCUAUUUUCUGCUGAACACAAAGAUUGAAGAAUGUUUGUAACCAAGCAGAUCUCACAACCCAUUAACUGUCAUAAUUUUUUUUACAAUUGUGAGAUCUGCUUUGUUACAAACAUUCUUUCAAAUAUCUUUAUAUCUUCAAAUAUCAGGUUUGAAACAUGAAAGAGAGUAAAUGACUAAAUAUACAUUUUUGGGUGAACUCUAUCCCUUUAUAUAAAAGUAUUUUGAAAUUGUUAUGG